AAAUACUGUCCCAUCAUCACGUCUUUGAACCCGUGAGAUUGUGCUGUCUCUUUACCCUUAUCACUGGGACCCCUGCUAAAGGCCACCUCCUAUGUUGGCAAUUUCGUCCUGGCCCUGGAAGGCAGAGGGUGAUGAGACAAGUUCAGUGGCAAGCAGCCAUGGCUUCCUGAUUGACUCUCCUUUCUCUGUCUUUGGAACACAGCAUGGGGUCUGGCCUUCUGUUUCAUGGCUCAAAGUCAUGGAAGCCUCAGGCAGGGCAGCAGGAACCUCUAUAUCCCAGAUGACUUCCCAGCUGCCCUGGAAUAUCCCGAAAGCUGAGGCUAUGAAUUUUCUUCUGAAUGCUGAAAUACCUGUCCCUGGAGGUGUUUGCUGAAUGAAUAUGUGAUCCCAAGGACCAUUCUUGCAGCACUUCAAGGAAGGUGCUUUGCUUCCGAGCAAGCUUUGGUACCCAGACCCUCUCCUCUGCCCUUAGAGUAUUAAGACCAUGUUUAGGCAGCAGUUAUCAAGGAGCCCACUGGGGGCUGCAUGCUUUCAGAAAGCAAAGCACCCAUCCUCAGAAGUCCUCGCGUUCCCCCAAGCUCUGGGAGGGUGUUACAGAAGUGAGUUAGAUGCAGUAGGCCCCACAAACACACUGAGCUGGGCUGGGAGUGAAGAGACAUGAAAAGGCACGUGAAGAAACGGAGCUGUGGUGUUGAAUAAUGAGGAUCAGACAGAGCAGGAAAAUGGCGCAUUUUUUUCCUCACACACAUGCCCUCAGUAAAAUGAGACAUUUCAUUCCCUCCAGAUCGUCUCCCCAAAGGAGACACUGCUUCAGGAGCUGAAUGCCCAAGUGUACCCCCUUCCCCGUCACUCACCGCUACCCCUCUGCCCUCCCGCCCGACCCGGGCCUCUACGUGGCUGCCCCCAAGCACAGCCAGUAUCUCCCACAGACUGUUCCCGAGCUGGAAAACAGUUUUCUCUUCUGAGAACUCACUUUCUUUGAAAGAAACCCCACCGCCACCCACCUCAAGUUGAAAGAGGAAUUCAGGAAGGGCUGGGUCCUAGGGCGUGUUUCAAAUGCCAGCCUGGCUCAGACCGUCUGUUGUGCCUGCGUGUUUCUCUGUGAAAUUACCCAUCAAGGGGGCCCAGGAAAGUUGAGUCACGCAGCUUCAUCUGGUGCUGAGCAAAGGCUCACAUGAUGUGUGAAGCCAGGACCUGUAACGGUGGUUGGCAGAGCUGUGAGCUGGGACCUUUGCAGCCCAGCUGGCUGCAGAGGGAGGGAAAAACCACCCCAGGACUUCAGUUUCCUGGGCUCACUGGUGACUAGAAGGCCACGGUUGCGGAUGGGGAUUCCGAGAUCGAGGUGCAGAGGGGGCUUCCUAAGCCUGUGUUCAGGGGUGUGGGGGUACCACUUAAUGCCUCUGUGCUGGGAUGGAGGGACUUGGUGGGAUUGAUUUGGCAAACAAGUUAAUGUGUUGUUAUGGCUGCCAGUUGACUGAUUGAAUUGCUAGUAAUUGGGGCAGGGGAAGCAUUUAAUUUGAUGCACUGAAUGCAGGACCACCAGAGUUGGUAUCGUGGCUGCAGCAGUUUUAAAGUGUGUGCACGAGUGUGUGUUUGUGUGUGUGUGUGCGUGUGCAUGCAUGUUUAGUCCUUUAGCCUCCUCUGUUACUCGGGGGUCUUCAUUCCCAUCCUCUACCAGCUCACCAGCCCCCACCCUCAGCCCCCAGAGCAAACAGGACAAAGGUUUAUUUGUCACUGGAGAAUGAUGCAAAUCCAGGCUCUUCUCUUUCACAGACCAGGGCUCUCCUAAGUGUCACGCACCCAUGGUGGUCCCCUCGGGCAGGGGUCCACCAACUGCAGUCCACCACCGAGGAGUCUGGUUUUUAUCAAUAAAGUUUUAUUGAAACACAGCCACACUCUUUGUGUAGGAAUUGCUGCGGGCUGCAUUCACAUUACAACAGUUGAGUCGUGGUCCCACAAAGCCUAGACUAUUUCCUGUGGCCUUUUUAAAAUAGAAUUGCCGACCCCUUAGGGUUGCCAGAUUUUGCACAUAAAAAUACAGGAUGCUUAUUUAGCUUUGAAUUUCAGAGAAACAAUCAUUUUGUUUUAUUUUAUUUUAUUUUAGCCAAACUGUGUCACACACUUAGCUGGGCAUCCUGUGUUUUUUAAUCUGGCUACCCUUGACCCUGCACCAGGGUACAGGAAGCAAGCAUUGCAGCUUCUGUCUGUCUUUGAGCUCAUCCCAUUUCAAUUCCAUUUCUUGCAGUGUUUCCUAAUAUCACCUCUAGGGGUAUGUACCUCAUUUGUAGAUAAAGACGGCUACAGCUGUUGGGAGGGGAUGCUCCAGUUUUCACUGCACUGCUCGUGGCGCAUGAUCAAAGCAGUGUGGAGACGGAGAGAGCAGGAAACCCUCCCGCCCACGGAACCAGCCUGGGCUUCCGGUGGGACCGACAGCUGGAGAAUGCGGCAGAAGGAAAGAAUGCAAAUUCCAGCUCAGGGUGGUCUGAGUUGCUUGAGCACCCUGGGUUCUGUGUCCUCACGAGGAUUUGGAGAAAACAGGUAGUUCCUAGACUGGGUUAUGAUGAAACCCCAUCGGGUGUUUGUAUCGUCGGUGACCAGAGCCUGAGGGGUGUCCUCCAUGUCCUGCGAGUGUUCUCUUUGCUGCAACGCACGUGAAAUGAAAUCUCCAGGGAGCAGAACGCACAGAGGGUCCCCAGGGCACGGCGUCGGCUUCUGUCCAGUCAGGCCUUCCCUCUCGAGCAGCCUUGUGGCCACACCAGUGACUCAUGCGGGGGCUUAGCUGUUUGUGUCCGGAGAGCUCAGAGCACUCUGCCCUGUGGUUUCAGUUCCCAUGGGCCUCGGCGACACAGUUUUGUUUCCACUUUGGUUUAUCCUGUGAGUUUCCAGCCUCUUUUGUAUCUUGCGAAAGUUUGCAGGGAAUCGUUUGAAACAGUCCCCCGAGCAGCCGCUGCCAUGGCCGUCGGGGUUCAUGGUGAGAGCCCGGCAGGGGCGUCCGGUCAGGCCACGGUCACUUCCUGGGCUUCCAGAGGGAGGCGGGAGAGGGCCCUGGCUUCUGGGAAGACAGAGGGGUCAACACGCUGCAAAGCAUGACACCCCCCUCCCCACUCAGCACACUCAGCCCACAGCAGUACAGGGACAGCCCGGGAACGGGUCCAGCCACCCCCUCAACUCCGAAAACGCCCACCGCUCUCCUCCGAGGGGGAGAUGCCGCCCCGCAGUCUGAACGGCUUCCUGGCUACGCAGCCUGGCAGGUCAGCCCCGAUUCCUGUCCGCUGCCAGGACGUGGAGAAGGCUGGCAGAGGGGAGCCACCCACUGCGUGUGAGGUGACAGACAUGGGUUGAGAGGGGAAUGAUGGCCCUCUUGGUCCCUCUGAGGCCAGCAGUCCCAUUCUCUCCUAGAGAAGAAGUGCUUUCCACCAUUCAUCUCUCCUUUCAGUAGCAGGUUCUUCCCGCCAUCAUGCGCAGCACUACACACAGGGGUUACGAGGUGACUGAGACUCAGCCACCCUUAAGAAGCAUCGUUUAGAGAAGAAAUUAGGAUAGUAGUAGAUUUUUUAAGGCAGUGUGAUGGGACUUGGGGUGCAAGAAAGCAGUGUGCCCUAUCAGAACACUGUGCAGGGGUAUUCGGCACAGCUGAGAAGGUGCUACUUCAGCUGGGUUUUGAGGGCUGAGUAGGAGUUUGUUAGAGGAGGAAGGAAACAGAACUUAUAAAGCUCCUAGGCUCAAAAUGGCAGGGUGUGUCUGAGAAGCUGCACAUGCUUUGGGGUUUUUAUUUACUUGCUUGAGUAGCUGCAGGUGCCCUGUGUGCAGAGGUGACAAGAAGGGACCAGGUUGGGGUACACUGCAUUUCCCAUAGCUGAAUGCAAAGUGGAAAACAGGAAUUCCUAAAGAGAUAAAAAGUAAAAUGGGCUUCUUGACCCAAAAACCUAUGUGGUGACUUGACUAAAGUCAUCCAUUGAGCAGAGAACAAAACUCACAUUUUUCCCAAAGCUUUAACAGCCCCCGCCUUCCACCUCAUGCUCACAGCCUGCCCUGAUCCGAUCCACCCCAGCCCCAGCCUCCCUGGCGCCUUGCCUGCCCCUGCCCCCCUGGCACAUAACCGUUUGUUCCAAGGGGGCCAACAAUGCUUGCCAUUUGGAAUUUCUUGAGGAAGAAACUAAGGGCCUGAGAGGACAAAGAACUUACCUUAGGAGAUGGAGCCAGGUCAGGGUGGAGUCUGGACUUGAACCUGCGUCUCUUUGUCAAAGCCAAAGUCCUUUUCCCCCAGGCUCUUUCCUGGAAGAAGUCAGCCUUCAUGGCACUCGAUCAGUUCCUGUUAGUGAUUGAUGGAUCGCAGUCAGAUUUUUUAGCCAGCUUUGGCUGAGCUGGCCAUCCUCCCUCCCCCAGUCCCUCCGCCACCCCCUUCCAAAGCCUGAGUUUCCAGGGCUUCUCGCCACGGGUACUUGGCUUUGAAAAAAACGAGCUUAUUUUUCCUGCUUGUGUAUCCUGGCCUUUCUCCCCCUGCUCACGCACAGCUGAGCCAGGUGCUGAAAGGUGCCAUCUGGGGGGACCUCUUUUUAAUGGUCCUGUUUGGGGGUCCCUCCCCAGAGAGGGGCUUGCGGGAAUCUUCUCCCAGAGCCUCUUUUUCUUGGAUCCGCUUGGAGAUGUAACAUUUCAAAGCCCUGCUUGGCUGGAGGACUUUUUAUUGUAAACAUAAAACCGUCAUUGAAACAGUAAACGUUUUACAGCUGUUUUUCAGCACAUAAAUUUUCAUGGACACCCACCCCCUCACUGCCACACCCUCCCCAUCUAUUUCUCCUCCUCUCUCUCUCUUUGGCUCUCUUUUUAACCCUUUCAUGUAGUUCCAAGGCCAGAGCAGAGGCUGGGUAGAGGGGCUGGAUCGCAGGUAAAAUACAGCAGGCGAUGCCCGGUCGUGCCGUUCACGAAAGACGUUGUACUUGAACCCAGCGAGGCAUGUGCAGCUUCCAGGUCCCUGCCAGGGGAUGCAAACAGUUCCUGUUGCCUCCCUGAGCCACCGUGAGGCUGAGCCCAGUGCCAAGGCUGAGGAGGCUCCCAGGCAGGCCCAGAUCGUGUUUCCUCUCUCAAGCAGAACCCAGGAGGGCUGUUUCUGAGAAGGGUGGAAGUUUCCAGAAGGCCAGUGCUGAGAUGGCACGGACCAGCCUGUGAUUUGUCCAAGGGCAUCCCUUCCUUCUGAUCGGACAGCCCAUGGGCCAUUUGGCGACUCUUCAAAGUGGGGUCCAGCGGAACGCUGACUUGUUUUGGUUAAAAACGGGGCCGAGUCCAGCUGGUGCUGAGAGUUGUGGGGAAAGGGAUGGUGCUCACAGUGGUGACAGUCACAACUCUGCCAGGCUCUGGCCCGCUCACCGUGUUUGCUGUGCGCCGUGGGUACCUCGGGCUCUGUGGCUCUGCCUCCCACUCUCCGAACAUAGAGAUUCCCAGGAAACUCUCGUAAACUCCGACGGCGAAAAUGCGGAAGCAGGUACCUCAGGACACCUCUUGCUAAAGGCUGCACAGGACAAGCUCACAGACACAGUCCAAGGCUGCCGCGCUUGGCGCUGCGAUGCUGAGUGUGGUUCCGGGGAAGGAGCCUGGAUGGUGCGGCACCUGCUGCCUCCACUGGCUCUCUGCCAGACAGACCCUGAGCGUCGCGUGUGCGCUUCGCGUUUGUGUUCCAUAUCCUCUUGGGAUUUCUCUCAGCUAGAGGACACAGGUACUAAUACAGGUCUUCUGGAAGGUGGCAUAAGACUUUGAAGAAGCAGGAGAUUCCCAUAUCUGACCACCACCCUGGCCAGGGCGUCGUGAUGGGUGGGACGAACCUCCUUGCUCCAGGAGCAGGUCAUGUGACUUUGUUUCGCCCGUGGAAUCUGUGCUACCACGCUGCGAGCGGAGUCUCGAAAUGGGCUGCAUGACUGGGUUUUUGCCCCUUGCAUUUUUCUCAUGUCCGGUGCCUCUGCAGCUGGAGCCUCCGAAUGAGAAAGGUAAGGAAGACCUGAACCUGACUUUCCACUGGGGACCAAGUUCAGCCAAGCCCAGCUCAUGCUGGGCAACCCUCCCCACCAGCCCAGAGCCCAGCAUAGGAGAGAAAGAAAUGUGGUCUUGUGAACUCCUGAGGUUUCAGGGUUGCUUGUUACUCAGCAGUAUUGUAUCAGCUGUGCCCUUACACCCCAGUGGCUCGGCGCUCUACUUAAGAUAAAAAUCUACGCUCUGUACCCGGCUCGCUUGUCCUGCAGGCCUGGAGUCCUGCCCACCUUGCAGAUUUUAUUUCACACCAUGCCCAGUCUUGCCCUGUCCCCUCCAGCCAGUCCAGUCUUCUUUCCGUUCCUCAAACGCACACAGCCUGCACCUGCCUCAGGGCCUUUGCACACCUUGCUCCUCUUGAUGAUGCUGUCUCAUCUUUCUGACUCAGUUCAAAGAUCACGUCCUCAGAGGCCGACCCUGACCCCUCUAUCUAAAUAAAAGCAAUAUAAUCACUGUCAUUUCACUAUUGACAAAGCGCUCCCAUUCUACGCGAGACUAUGUCGUCAGCAUCUCGUUAGAGCCCCGUGACACAGGUACUCUCAUUAGCCUCCCCGUGUACACACGAGGUGUUGCACCUCAGAGAGGCUUAAGCAAGAUGAGUAAGUGGGGGCGUUGGUUCACCCCCGUCCCUCCCAGCCCACGCUGGUUCUUUCCUGCCGAGCACUUAGAGCUCUCUAUGGAUGCGUUCGUUCCUCCUUCACUGGCCGUCUCUUCCUCCCUAGAGCAUCAGCUCACGAGUGUUGCCCAGCUUAAGGGGAGGUGCUGUGGGCGCAGCUGGGCAGAGGCUAGUCAACAUCCUGGAGCUCAGUCCUAGCCCCGUGACCCUUCUCUCAGCCCGGUUUCCCCACUGUCACUGGAGGGGCUCAUCCUUGGUCUCUUGUGUCCUUCUGAGGCUGAGCCUCCUAGGGUCUCGGAGCCCCUGUAGCCCUCAGAGCCCUCCUUCAGGGCAGCUGCGGUGCAUGGUGGCCUAGGAAGCCCCAGGUCCAUCUGCCCCAAGGAGUAUUGAACUUGGCUGGGACACAGGGGCUCUGCAGACCUAGAGGGUGGCAGAAGUAUACUUUCUCCACAGGCUCAGCUCUUCCUUCCCUGGUCCCGAUCCAUCCAUCCCUGCAUCUGACACGUGCUCAGUGCCCUUUGUGUCCUGGGAUCUGGGUUGAGGUCCCGAAGUACAAAGGUUACCAGACCUUGGGCAGAGUGGCCCCUCAGUGCAUUUUUGAUGAGUGAAUGAAUGGAUUUGUCCAUAUAUUAUAAACAGCUCGUUACAAAUAUUUGUAAAAUAGCCCCCAGGAGUUCCCGUCAUGGCUCAGUGGUUAACGAAUAUGACUAGGAACCAUGAGGUUGUGGGUUCGAUCCCUGGCCUUGCUCCGUGGGUUAAGGAUCCAGUGUUGCCGUGAGCUGUGGUGUGGGUUGUAGAUGCGGCUCGGAUUCUGCAUUGCUGUGGCUCUGGUGUAGGCCAGUGGCUACAGCUCCAAUUAGACCCUAGCCUGGGAGCCUCCAUAUGCUAUGGGAGCAGCCCUAGAAAAGGCUAAAAGACCAAAAAAAAAAAAAAAAA
rnacentral:lncRNA from 1 species